rnacentral:rRNA from 1 species
GUGGGGAAUAUUGCGCAAUGGGCGAAAGCCUGACGCAGCGACGCCGCGUGAGGGAUGAAGGUUUUCGGAUCGUAAACCUCUGUCAGAAGGGAAGAAACUACGUUGUGCUAAUCAGCAGCGUACUGACGGUACCUUCAAAGGAAGCACCGGCUAACUCCGUGCCAGCAGCCGCGGUAAUACGGAGGGUGCAAGCUUUAAUCGGAAUUACUGGGCGUAAAGCGCACGUAGGCUGUAGUGUAAGUCAGGGGUGAAAUCCCACGGCUCAACCGUGGAACUGCCAUUGAUACUGCAAAACUUGAAUCCGGGAGAGGGUGGCGGAAUUCCAGGUGUAGGAGUGAAAUGCGUAGAUAUCUGGAGGAACAUCAGUGGCGAAGGCGGCCACCUGGACCGGUAUUGACGCUGAGGUGCGAAAGCGUGGGGAGCAAACAGGAUUAGAUACCCUAGUAGUCC